GCAAACUUGGUCAUUUAGAGGAAGUAAAAGUCGUAACAAGGUUUCCGUAGGUGAACCUGCGGAAGGAUCAUCACAGUGAUCUGUGUGGAGGGAGAGUGUCUCCACACCAAUCUUGUGUGAACUGUUCUGUAGUAUGUGUGUUGGUGUGUGAUGUGUUAUGGCACUCCCACCAACAAUCAAUCUCUCUCUUUCAACCUUUGUCUAACAUGUACACACACAAUCUAAAACAACUUUUAACAAUGGAUCUCUUGGCUCUCGCAUCGAUGAAGAACGCAGC
rnacentral:misc_RNA from 1 species